rnacentral:rRNA from 1 species
GAACGAGAAAGUGGAGCAAUCCAUGAGUAAAGUGGCGACNCGGGUGAGUAACACGUGACUAACCUACCUUCGAGUGGGGGAUAACCUCGGGAAACCGAGGCUAAUACCGCAUAACAUCGCAAGAUCAAAGCAGCAAUGCGCUUGGAGAGGGGGUCGCGGCUGAUUAGCUAGUUGGCGGGGUAACGGCCCACCAAGGCGAAGAUCGGUAUCCGGCCUGAGAGGGCGCACGGACACACUGGAACUGAAACACGGUCCAGACUCCUGCGGGAGGCAGCAGUGGGGAAUUUUGCGCAAUGGGGGAAACCCUGACGCAGCAACGCCGCGUGGAGGAUGAAGCCCUUUGGGGCGUAAACUCCUUUCGACUCGGACGAUAAUGACGGUACGAGUGGAAGAAGCACCGGCUAACUCUGUG